rnacentral:tRNA from 1 species
GGAGAGGUGGCUGAGUGGUCGAAAGCGGCAGAUUGCUAAUCUGUUGUGUAAUAUUUACACCGAGGGUUCGAAUCCCUUCUUCUCCU